rnacentral:rRNA from 1 species
GACGAACGCUGGCGGCGUGCUUAACACAUGCAAGUCGAACGGAAAGGCCCUGCUUUUGUGGGGUGCUCGAGUGGCGAACGGGUGAGUAACACGUGAGUAACCUGCCCUUGACUUUGGGAUAACUUCAGGAAACUGGGGCUAAUACCGGAUAGGAGCUCCUGCUGCAUGGUGGGGGUUGGACAGUUUCGGCGGUUGGGGAUGGACUCGCGGCUUAUCAGCUUGUUGGUGGGGUAGUGGCUUACCAAGGCUUUGACGGGUAGCCGGCCUGAGAGGGGGACCGGCCACAGUGGGACUGAGAUACGGCACAGACUCCUACGGGAGGCAGCAGUGGGGAAUAGUGCACAAGGGGCGGAAGCCUGAUGCAGCAACGCCGCGUGCGGGAUGACGGCCUUCGGGUUGUAAACCGAUUUCGCCUGUGACGAAGCGUGAGUGACGGUAAUGGGUAAAGAAGCACCGGCUAACUACGUG